GAUGAAGAACGUAGCGAAAUGCGAUAAGUAAUGUGAAUUGCAGAAUUCAGUGAAUCAUCGAAUCUUUGAGCGCACAUUGCGCCCCUUGGUAUUCCGAGGGGCAUGCCUGUUCGAGCGUCAUAUUAACCACUCCCGCUUGCGGGGUCUUGGGCUUCGCCUCCGGGCGGGCCUUAAAAUCAGUGGCGGUGCCGUCGGGCUCUACGCGUAGUAAAUUUUCUCGCGAUAGGGUCCCGGUGGAUGCUUGCCAACAACCCCCAACUUCUUAAGGUUGACCUCGGAUCAGGUAGGGAUACCCGCUGAACUUAAGCAUAUCAAUAAGCGGAGGA
rnacentral:misc_RNA from 1 species